GGUGGCUUGGAGUCGAAUAAAAAAUUAGGUUGAGCUAGGAAUUACUAGUCUAAAAUACUCGAGUUGAGUCACAAAUGACUUAUUAAAAUAAUACUUUAAGUAAAAACUGACUUGUCAAUAAAAUACUUAGAUGGAGUUAGUCAAAAGUGGUUGGGAGCUAAAAGAAUAAUUAGUUGUAUUUCACAACAUUAGUAUGCUUAUUAUAAAUAAAUCAAUUAAUUACGAACUAGAUAUAGUUUGCAUGGUUAGACGAAUUAGU
rnacentral:lncRNA from 1 species